GAUGAACGCUGGCGGCGUGCCUAAUACAUGCCAGUCGAGCGAACGGACGAGAAGCUUGCUUCUCUGAUGUUAGCGGCGGACGGGUGAGUAACACGUGGAUAACCUCCCUAUAAGACUGGGAUAACUUCGGGAAACCGGAGCUAAUACCGGAUAAUAUUUUGCACCGCAUGGUUCAAAAGUGAAAGACGGUCUUGCUGUCACUUAUAGAUGGAUCCGCGCUGCAUUAGCUGGUUGGUAAGGUAACGGCUUACCAAGGCAACGAUGCGUAGCCGACCUGAGAGGGGGAUAGGCCACCUGAGAAGGUGGACGGGCUCCAGAGGCCUGCGGGAGGCAGCAGUAGGGAAUCGGACGCAAUGGGGGAGAGCCUGACGGAGUGACGGGGCGUGAGAGACGAAGGUGUUGGGAGCGUAAAACCCUGUUAUGAGGGGAGAACAUAUGUGUAAGUAGCUGAGCACAUCGUGACGGUAACGAGUCAGAAAGCCACGGCUAACUACGUG
rnacentral:rRNA from 1 species